rnacentral:rRNA from 1 species
UUUCUUUGCUGGCGACCGGCGCACGGGUGAGUAACACGUAUCCAACCUGCCGAUGACUCGGGGAUAGCCUUUCGAAAGAAAGAUUAAUACCCGAUGGCAUAGUUCUUCCGCAUGGUAGAACUAUUAAAGAAUUUCGGUCAUCGAUGGGGAUGCGUUCCAUUAGGUUGUUGGCGGGGUAACGGCCCACCAAGCCUUCGAUGGAUAGGGGUUCUGAGAGGAAGGUCCCCCACAUUGGAACUGAGACACGGUCCAAACUCCUACGGGAGGCAGCAUG